UCUCUUCAGCUCUCAUUCUCUCUCAUCCGACUCCCCCUCUAUCUUCGGACGCCGCCCCACAGCCUUCGUGUUGCCGCCGUCGCCGGAACUCCGAUCCAACCAAAGUUUCCAUAUUUUCUCCUCUUCAUUCCCUCUACCCAUUUCUCCAACCAAAAUCAUAAAAUUUGGCCAUUCAAUCCUCCAAAAACCCCAGAACCCGAAGCUAAUUUGGAGGUUUUUGAGAUUUCUUCAUUCUAAGUUCAAAUCAAGGUGUCUCCGUGGUCCAUUUCCAAGCAGCAUCUGAUUUGCAAUGCAAGCAAAUAUCACCUUUUGUGGACACGCUCUGUGGCCGCUACCCAUCCAUAAAUUUCCUCAAGGUUGACAUUGAAGAAAGCCCAGCAGUUGCGAACAUUGAAAAUGUGAAGAUUGUACCAACAUUCAAGAUAUACAAAAACGGUAUCAGACAAUUAAAGUACAGCUUUAAAAUAAUAAAAUUUACUUGAGCAUGUAUAUCAUAGAAGAUGCGAGCGACCUAGAAAGUAUGCAAUAUGCACGAGAGCAGAAAAUGUAAAUGGAUAAUCAUGAACUAGAAGAUCUUCGUUCCAUUGUUGCCUGAACUGAAGGUGAUCAGACAAUUACAGCACAGCUUUAAAAUUUACUUAUUUACAAGCACCCCCAGGAUAUGACAUUGAAGCUUCAUUAUGGUAUUCUCUUUUCUACGGGGCAAGAUUACAUCUCUAUUCUCGCUUAUCCUCCUCCAGAACUUCUGCAAGCCCAUUGUUAAAUUCUCGCAUAGCUGCUGUAUCUCCGCUCACCUUCAAAGCACCACUUGUUAAUGAGACGCCCUCCUCAUCAAAGUCGUCUCCUGUCUCCUCUGAGUAUGCAUAUCUGCAAGUUCCAGACCAAAAUAUUAUACUAUCAGGCUGUGGUGCCAAGGCAACAUAAGAAGAGCAAAAGUCCGAUAGCUCCAUGCAUUGAAAAAAACAAUAUCAAUGCACUCAUGAUGCAAAUUUUCCGUUAAAGAUACCACUCAAUGCACAAGAUAAUAGAGAAACAACAGGCCUCUCUUUCUGCUAUUUUAUGAUGACAGCAUCACACUUUACGCCAGUCAAAUCAAACAAUGUAAGCAUCCAUCAAAUACAUCCGUACAUCUCUCUUGAUAAGUACAUAGAUAUUACUAUUAUUAUGUAAACAAGAUCAGGAAAAUGUAAAAUCACAACGUCAAAGAAAAUACCUAGUUGGGUUACUUGAUGGAGCCCAGAGGACACAUAUCACUGCCAAGAGAGCGUAGGCAAGCAGUCCAAAAUGCAGGAAUAACCCAGGCGAUUUGCCAAAACUCACUCAAUGGAUCGGUUGCAUU